rnacentral:misc_RNA from 1 species
GAAAUGCGAUAAGUAGUGUGAAUUGCAGAAUUCAGUGAAUCAUCGAAUCUUUGAACGCACAUUGCGCCCUUUGGCAUUCCGAAGGGCAUACCUGUUCGAGCGUCAUUUGUACCCUCAAGCUCUGCUUGGUGUUGGGUGUUUGUCCCCGUCUCCGCGCGUGGACUCGCCCCAAAGUGAUUGGCAGCCGGCGUACUGGUCCCGGAGCGCAGCACAUGUCGCGCAAACGAGUGCCUUGGUACGGCGGCGUCCAUAAGCCCCUCUCUCACGCUCUUGACCUCGGAUCAGGUAGGGAUACCCGCUGAACUUAAGC